rnacentral:rRNA from 1 species
ACGCUCGACACCUACGGGAGGCGGCAGUUGGGAAUAUUGGACAAUGGAGGAAACUCUGAUCCAGUGACGCCGCGUGAAGGAAGAAGGUCUUCGGAUUGUAAACUUAUUUUGUCAGGGAAGAAAAAAUGACUGUACCUGAAGAAAAAGCACCGGCUAACUACGUGCCAGCAGCCGCGGUAAUCUGAGCGGGCUGGCAAGGC